AGGGAACAAACGUUGCUUCACUGGCAGCAAAAAGGAGCAGAAGCAAACUGAACGUUUCUGUGCUUUCUGAAGGAAGAAAGAAGUCAAGAGUUUGUCUUUCAAGGAUGACUGCUCUUCAAGUACCCUGAGUAGGAUCCAAUCAGCUGUUGGAAAACCAUGGGCAACUGUGGAACUGCUGAAAGAUGGAAGGAAAGGAAAUACGACACUGCUUUUCUAAAAAAGAAAGCAGUACAAUUCUAGCAAGAGCCACACUACAUAUCUGGAUCCCAGCCCUCCCCAAAAGAUAACUCAGCUGACGUCUGCAGAGCCAGAUUUCCCUGCCUUGAAAUCCAAAUUCCCCUUCCUUGAAACCAAUAGCAAAACUCACUGAGACCAUUUGUUCAGGAUGCAUGCAAAGGGAUUUCUACCGGCUCAAGCAAGCAGUGAUGGAGAUGGAGCCCUGUCCUCUACAGCACAAGAUCCCUCCCCAUCGGUCAGCUGCAAGAUGCCAAAAAUUGCAUCCUCCCUGCUAUCUUGGGGCAGCACCUGUGUCAGGAAGAGGCAGACACGACAUGGCAGGAUCCUGCCGGCAGCUCAGGUUGGCAUCUGCUGGGCAGUGUCCCAAGGCAGGGAGGCACUGGGAGCCUCACUGCAGGGCUCCAGCCCAGCUGGCAGAAGGUCUGUCCUGCUGUAGGGCACAGGGCAGGUCAGGAACACGCACAUGUGGGCUAUGGGGUCCUCCUGCUGCAGAAAUCCAGCAGAGGGGGGUGCAGGGCCCUGGGAGCCGUGCGGGCGAGUGCAGGGAUGGGGGUGCGCCUCUGCUUCUGCCUCUCCUUUCUCUCCGAUUUCCUUUCUCUUGCCAUCUCUACUUCUCCUAGAAGCGUUUCUCCCUCAGCCCCCGCAGCUCCACAGGAAACCUCACCCACUCUACCUAUUUUUGCCCGCUGGCAUGUGGGCAGGUAUACCUGCCCUGUGUGCCUUAGCUCAGCACUGCAUCAUGGAGCAAGCACUUUUGUUCAGAGCUCUUUUUAAAGCUAUUAAAAAAAAGAAAAGGGAGAAGAAAAGAAAAGAAACACGCACUGUGAAGCCUGAAUAGCAGCGUUUCUAUCAUCUGUUGUCAUGACACACAGCUGACGUGGGAACACGGCAGUAAGGCUGACUGCUAGAUAGGUUUAAUUUUGGUGCAGAAAUUUGCUAGAAGAAUCUUUCAAAAAUAUCUCUGGGUGGGAGGAAAACAGGUGGGUGCUGGUUAUGUGUACGUAGCAGGAGGAAAUAGUUGUCAAUCUUAACCAAGCAUUACUCUACAUCCAUCAGCCCUUUGGUACCCUCACUACUCAGCAGGGGGGAAAAUGAUGCUGUCUCUCACUGUUCUUCUCUCCUGUUACUUCUGGAGAUGGUGCUGGUAGGCCACAGAGCGCAGGAAGACUCUGCACGGGUUGACUAAAUAACACCAUGGUUGGCUUGGUCAAACCACACACUGUCCACUCAAUCUUGGUAAAGAUAUCCAUAGCCAGCAGAGGAAGGCAAUAUCAGUAUCAUCCACUGAAGAGAGGUGACAGCGAGACCCUCCCAGGAGACACUUCUGGGCCAGUAGUGGCUAAAAUGACAGCUAAUGUUGGAGAUGGGUCCCGCGUGACGAGUAGAGUGAUCUGUAGGAAAUCCUAGACUGAAUAUAGUUUCUGUGGUUGUCCAUUCUGGUGAACGAGAGGAGUCAGUAGCCCAGGUGGUCUUAUCAGCACUCUGUUCCCAUGCCCCAUACACACCUUUGUUUCAAAUGUGUUUCCCCCUCAGUGUCCCUAGGCAAGUCAUACCUAGUCUGGUUUCUAGGUGCUCCUAAGCAGUCACAGCUCCUGCUGGCUACUGAAGAGUGUAGGUGUUUAGAAAUAUUCUCUAAAAAUCACUCUGCUAACCCAUUUGAAGCUCAUUUUCCUCUUCCACAAACUACUCUGUAUUAGCACAUUUCUCAUCUCUGUUAGUCAUCUUGACUAAUGACUUUACUCAUCUCGACUAGUUUACUCACCCAUUUCAAUACUUAGCUAGAUCACAGGAACAUUCUGUGACUUAAUUAAGUAAUCAAUUAGAGCUCAGAGGUCUUUGAAUGAAGUGUUAUGUUUUACAACAGCAAAAUACUAUGAUUACGCUUCUGGAAAACGUAAUUCAGUGUCAGGACUUACUUUCUCUUCCCCAGCUGGUGUUUGGACAUUCACAGUAAUGAUGGUGGUGAGACUGGAACUGAAGUCUCCAACCCUUAGCACUGAAAAGUUUGAAAGAGGAACGAUUGUCUGAAAGAGAAGAGUUUGGCAGAAAGCCAUUGCAAAUCAGUUGUAUGGACUGAGAUGGAGGCAGAGAGGAGGAAGACCUUUUUUGGAGAGGAGGUGCACUGGAACAGAAACACACUUAAGUCUGUGUGAGCAAAGGAAUAAUUCAGAGCUUCUCUUGCAGAAUAUAGUUUGUACCUAACGUGGCCAUAAACCCAAAGGAACUAUAUUUUUUUCUUCUAUCCCAUUAUCAUUGUUAUCUCAACUUGGUUGGAAAAUCUGGGUUUUCCCAUACCACUGCUGCAAUUUUCUCAGCGUGUCAGAUGUCCCCUCCCUGGUCCUCAUUAGGAGCCCCACAUGAGAAGUCCUGUUGAGUGAAAAAAAUGUUAUCUAUGUAUUCAUUGCAUCCUUGCUUUGUUUUUUGGUUUUGGUCCUCUCUUUUUCUCAUGCUACUUUCUGUUUCUAGCCUGUACUCUGAAUAUCACAUAAUGUGCUCAAAAAAUUUGAAUAGUUUCCACUUUAAAUUCUAAAAAUGGUUUACCAUUCCCAGAAAGUGUCAGCACCAGUCUUUUACGCAAAUAGCCACCUUGUUGCUACUUACCAAAGUAUCUCAUGCUGCUCACAAAUCAGGCUCUCAGCCCUUCCACUCAGACGCCCUGGGACUGCUGAUCUUUCUUCUGCAGAUGCCCAAACCAUUGCUGUUCACCUUGAUUCUGGCUAGAGCAGCUAUUGAGUGUAUAAAGGCUAGGAGCUGUUGUCCAGGGAGGAACUGACCUUACCAAGCUCCUCUUCCUGCUCCAGGGCAUGUCCCUGUGGUUCAGUCCGUCAGAAGAUAUGUUCAGUGUUCAGACCCAACUUUGAAAGCAAGUCAAUGCUUGGUGGGUGGCAUUAGGUCUAUGGGGUGAAACUUGGACUAGGUACAGGACAUCCAUGCUACCUACACUCGCAUAUGAAGUGGUGGCAAAGAAAAAAGGAGAACUAGGAUGGUUUUUCUGUAUUCCUGACACUCCUUUUUUUUUUUUUUUNNUUUUUUCCCUUUUCCUUUUCCUUUUCCUUUUCCUGUUCCUGUUCCUUUUCCUUUUCCUUUUUCUCUCAUAUAAAUUCUAGGGGACUGGAAAAAAAAUUAAUUUGGGAUUUGUCACUGAGGGAAUAACCAUCUGGGAAAAAUAUAAGCAUUGGCUGGAGGGUAAAUCUAGCUUCCCAUGCUAAAUAAAGGUAUUGAUUUUCCCUUCUUUCA
rnacentral:lncRNA from 1 species